rnacentral:lncRNA from 1 species
AUGAUCGCAAUUACACUGCAAGUUAUUUUGAUAAUGGGUUUUGACUCCUUAGCUACAAGUCCAAAGAAUUUAUCAGUCAUCCAGACACCGACGAAAGUAYACUUAUCAGUUGGAGACUCCACUGAAAUUGCAUGUAUUUGGGAAAAAAUCAGUUUGAUUGAGAGGUAUAGAGUAAGCUGGUAUCUUGUCAAUGAAGAGAACAUCACAAAGACUGUAACAUCGGACCUUGUCUACAUGUCCAAUGUCGCCCGUGAAAACAAGGAUGUGCUAGUGAUAGAAGCUGCCAAUGUAAAUAACACUGGACUUUAUUACUGUGAGGUAAUUAUUGAAAUACCUUUCUGUGAAAGAGUAUAUGGAAGUGGAACGAUGCUGACUGUUGGGAAGAAAGAUAUAAUUGCAGAAGCUGACUCACGGGAAAAGAGAGAGAUGGCCGUUUUGGCCAUCAUUCCUUUCUUAGUGGCAGUGGGAAGCUUAUAUCUUUGCUACAAAAAGAAACAGGACUCCAAACUUCCUGAAGAAAGACAUCAGGAGGAGCAGAUGCUUCAGGUAGCCAAACUUCAUGGGAGAAGUGAAUCCAUCAACGAAGCAGCUGAAGAAAACUUAUCAUGUAAUUCUGCUGAAUGGGCUGUGUCUACACUGUAUGAAUCAUACGAUCUUUUUUACAAUGAACCAAGAUAAAAGAUGGCAAAUCCAUUGUGACUACUGUGUAUCCAGCGCAGCAGAUGAACAAAUCCCGUGAAUGAGGGCAGCUGAAGAGUCAAGAACAAAAGUGAGACAAGGAUUCACUAUCUGCUUUGACACUGAGAACUACAGGAUCAUGUCAUGAAUAACCAAUAUGGAUAAAGAUCUAUGAGACUGAAAACAAUACCAUAAUUUGUUGCUGAAAUAUAGAUUACGUGAGUCUGCUGUCAGAAGCGCGUCAGUGGGACAAUAUGCCAGAACAGAUGUUGGUUCAGAACAGUCUCUGAAUGUUUUGUCAUUGACUUUAUCAUAAGGAGUCUGAAUUUGGAGGUUGUUGUUUUAGAAGGCUGUCUUCAACUCUACCCCCAACAUCCAGAGUGCAGAACUAAUAGAAGAUACAUUGUCAUACUUCGAAAGUCUUCUAGAUUGAACAGCAUUUUUCAACAAAAGUGUUACUUCAGGCAGCCAAGCACUGGCUGCCUGAAAUUUGAUGGCAAUCAUUCAACCAAAUAGGUAGGUACUACAUAUAGGAUGAAAUCUGAUUCCUGAAGCAGUCAUCAGUGCUGACUACAUCUUAGCAAGGGUGAUAGGCUAAAAGGCAUUGCUUUCCUGUAGAAAGGGACUGUUGAUGUUAAUUCAUUCACAAUAUUAAAAGCCUUCCAGAGAAGGUAGUCUCCUAUGGACAAUGAAAUACUCAGUUUAAAUGAAAUUAUAUAUAAUAGAAUUAUAUAUAAUUAUCAUUUAAUUGUGGGGAGGCUUGGAGCACAUAGAUGUUAACGCUUAUUCCACUUUUGCCCAUUCUAAAACUAGAGCAUCACUGAAGAAAUAAAUCAAAACUAAAAAUGCA